CUUAAUUUGACUGAACACGGGAAACCUCACCCAGCCUGGACAUGGACAGGAUUGACAGAUUGAGAGCUCUUUCUCGAUUCUGUGAGUGGUGGUGCGUGGCUGUUCUUAGCGUCCCAGACCACUGUUAAUUGGCCCUGUGUUCGCUUCCAUCAUGCUCAAAGCAAAGAGAACCCACUAUUUGUAAGGGGACCUGCAGGGCAGGGUGCCUUUGGGGGACACGGAGGG
rnacentral:ncRNA from 1 species